UACGUAGGAGGCGAGCGUUGUCCGGAAUUACUGGGCGUAAAGCGCGCGUAGGCGGCGCGACGCGACCGGUGUGAAAGCCCCCGGCUCAACUGGGGAGGGUCAUCGGUAACGGUCGUGCUGUGAGUGCAGGAGAGGGAUGUGGAACUCCGGGAGUAGCGGUGAAAUGCGUAGAGACCCGGAGGAACACCAGUGGCGAAGGCGAGUCUCUGGACAUUUCCUGACGCUGAGGCACGAAAGCCAGGGGAGCAAACGGG
rnacentral:rRNA from 1 species